CACCGCUAUCAAAGGCUGACCGCAGCGCCUGUACACGGCGGGCGCCAGUAGGCCGUCCCACUGCUUGAUACACCGCUUACCCUUCCCUCUAUCCCCCCCACACACACACUGCAGCGAUAGGCUUCGGCAUCCGGCAACUCGCAUACACGCGCGGAUACGCGGGGAGAAGUCGAAGCCGCCCGCGGAGUAAUGCGUGCAAAGCGCAUCCGCAGCUCAUUGGCCGAGCGCAUCGAGGACGCGUGCGGUGCGCCUUCAGCAACCGCAAACAGAGGAAAACACACGAGGGCGUCAUUUGAGUGUGCGCGCACGUUUGCGUGGUGAUGCUGGGAGAGUGAGAGGGGGAGGGGGAGUGCGCUGUGUGCUUCGUACACCACCGUCUCUCUUCUCUGCUGGCGCCGCGCAUCAUCGGCACUGGAAGAGGGGUUGCGCCUCUUUUUCUUUCCCGCGUGCGCUGCCUUCACCCCUUCUGCCUGUGGUGUCUGUGCCGCUGUCCCGGCACACGCCCACAGACGUUUCUUCCCGGCUGUUUCCCUCUUUAGUGCGGCGGCAAUCUUGCUGCGAGCCCUUACGCACGAGCAAUGAUAGGUACGCCCACAUAAGCAUAACCAUGUGUCCCGUGCCUCAUCAAGGGCUGCAGCGCAACCGCAGUCCUCGCGUCUCCACGGCGCGAAUGCUUCAACGGGCGCUGUUGCUUGUGGCCCUGCUGUGCAGUUUCUCACUUAUGACGGCGGUGGUGACGACACCCCGCGGCGACGGUGUUCAUGGCACUCUUUGCGUCUCUGCCUUACACGGCGCUGUAUUGGGGAGGGGGAAGGGCCUACGCGCGCCACCGCUCACUGUGCCCUUGCUGCAGCCUGUAGCGCUACCGCACCAUACGGGUUCCGCUGUUGUGGUGGCCGCCGCGCGGGCUGACGGCGAUGUUGACGACAUCGUCACUUUUUCGCAAGCCGGCGAUGUGUUCGCCUUGGAGGAGAGCGCUUCUGCAUCCGUGCCGUCUUCCUCGAGCUCCGGCGUCAGCCCAGGCGCUAACGGGAGGGGCAGCAAAGCAGCAAGGGCUCCAGAGACCCCGGCUUCCUCGUCGUCGUUGUCCGUAGAGCCGUUGCCGCGGGGGUCGUCCGCGGUGUCAUCGUUGAGGAGGUCGCUGUUAUUGCCCUCAGCGGCCGACAUUGUUGUCGUCUUGGUCGGUGAAGGCGACGCGGGCACAGAACUGCCCCCCUCAUCGUCAGCACCCCCUCCCGACAACUUCGGCACGCGCCGCGCACCUGCGAUGCGCCUCGCUCUCCUCGGUCUCAUCGCCCUCGUGGUGCCCGCUGCUAUCAUCGCCCUUGCCAUGUGGUGCGUCUGCCGCCGCACGCGGUACAAGCGAAAGGUAAAGGGCUUGCGUCUCAACGGCACUCGUCAACCCGGCGAGGUGGAUGACGUGGACAUGGGCAACAUUGUCAGGGGCGGCGAUUGGCUGAACCUCGACGCUGCCACCCCAGGCAGAACUAAGAUCGGCGCCAACGGCGCGCGUUUCUCCAUUUUGGCGCCGUCGACCGCUGCUUGCGUUCGCAUGGACGCCACGUUCGACCCGAUCGGGCAGCAGGCCGCGGAGACGCGGCAGCGCAAACGUGCCCGGCGGGUGGCUGUGGCUGCUGCCGAAGCGGCCGUCAUCCCGGCGAGGGGCGCUGGCAACGGCGGCAGCGAUGGUCUUGCGAGCCCGGUAAGCGGUGAAUCGGGCGCCGCAGGGCCGGAGAUGUGGUCCAGCGAUGAAGAGGAGCGUAGCGACGGCUAUUCAGUGAACGGAGGCGUCAGUGGCGGCAACGUUGGGGUUGCGGGUGGCUCUGCCCAAGCGCAUGCCACCUCGAGCGUUUUACCCGGCACUGGAGCCACGGGUGCCGGGGCUUCGUCUGGAGCUGGCCCGCACCUGAGGGGUGGCGCUGUCACCAGCUCCGUGGUAACCGCCGUUCAUCCACUGGAUCACGACCUGCACUACUUCAACGAGACGACGCGUGUGCUGCUGGGUCGCCACAUGGCAGAGAGCGGGGGUGGUGUGCCGCAGAUGCCGCCGUCGGCGUUGCCAGGCGGCGGUGGUGCUGCUGAGCAGAUCCUACGGCUAGCUUCGGGCAACGAGGCCGAGAGCGGCAACGCCGUCGUAAGCAAGCCCAAGUCGGUCUUUGAGCAGAUUCUUUCGUUCGCCGUUGCGCCGCUGCAGGUAGGCCGUGAGUUCCAUCAGCGCGGUGACAACAGGGAUAGCUGCAAUGUGGCAGACAGCGCUGGAGGGCCGAAAGCUCUGGCAGCGCCUGUGCCACGGGGCAGGGAGCGUGCUGAGCGGCACACCGAGAAGGAAGACUUGGAAGAGGAGCACGCCUUCCAGGAUGACGAAGAGCUCGAUGAGGAAUACAAGGACGAGGAGUGCGGCGAUUAUGAAGGGUCGUCGCAACGCCACAGCGGCGGCGUGUACGUCCCUGGCGCCUAAUCCGCCACAUGCCCUGCAGCACCUCGUUCUCUUAGCUAAAAGAAGGUGAUACGAUCAACGCAGGCGGUCUCAUGUUUGUCGCCAUUGUGGUUUUGCGUGCGGGGAGCGAUGGCGUCUGUCCAUGCGCGAGUGUCUACGUGGGCUCUUCUCCGAGAGAGCGUGAGGGACGCAUCAGGACGUUUUUCCGCUUUCCUUUCGUUGCUGCGGCCCCUCAUGACGGAGAGGGGGAGGGGCCCACACACCUCUCUCAGCGCGUGGCAUCUCAGGGUCCAGUACCCCCUCCACUUUCUCUGGGGAGAAGCCAGGCGGCCCCUCCUUUAUCCUUGCCAAUGCCGCGCCACCAUCAGAAGUGGCAGGGCCAGGUCCUGGAUGGUGUUGCGUCGGAGCUAACUGCAACAGUGAGCUGGCUUGUGUCAUCGAUGUGGCGGGCGAAGUGUCAACGAGACUUGAGUGCGUCCCAUACCGGGCCCUCGCACUGCCUACUGGUGGGAGGCCCGAGCCACCCCGAAGGGGAUGCACCACAUGGCGAUCGGCAUGAUUGUGAGCGGCUAUGAGACGACCUGCGACGCGGGGGCUGGGUAUAGUUUAGGGCAGAGGCCCGUGCUCAAAUGACUGAAUGGGCGCACUGCUGUGGCGCGCGCGUCUAGCGCCGCAUCACGCGAUAUCGGACCUUUGACAGGGAAGGGGGGGGGCGAGAAAUAGGGUGGGCGGUAUGACCCAUGCUCUGUGUGGGAGAGAAAGGCACACAAGAAAGUGAGUAGCAGAUUCUCGGUGUUGCUGCUUUUCGCAGUCGCGGCGCCGCCAUCCCCCUCUCACGUUGUCUUUCAGGUUUGAGGUGUGGGUGCACGGCUGAUUUAGCGCGUGGCGAGAGGUGGAGCGAGAGAGAGAAGGAAGUCUCCGCGAGCCCCUCAUAUGUACGUGUGACCCAAUUCUUUCGGUUUCCGUCACUGCGUUGCGGAGAAGCGGCUUUGCUGGCGUUGCCUGCGCCGCAUUUUUCUCGUUGUCCGUUUCGCAGUGCUCGGAGGCUCUGCGGCUGACGCAAAGGAGCACGAAAAGAACGCCAAAAAGGAAAUACUUCACGCUGCUGUGUUUGGUGACGCUUGGCAAGGUGCAGAGAGGACGAGAUGGGGCUGAGGAGGGAGGUGUACGCAGACUUGUGCUUCGACCUGCCUCGUCUUCAUUCCUCAUUUUGGUUUCGUUUCAACGGCAGAGUCGGCGACUGGCUCAGCGAC
rnacentral:misc_RNA from 1 species